GUAAACGAUGAGUGCUAAGUGUUGGAGGGUUUCCGCCCUUCAGUGCUGCAGCUAACGCAUUAAGCACUCCGCCUGGGGAGUACAACCGCAAGGUUGAAACUCAAAGGAAUUGACGGGGGCCCGCACAAGCGGUGGAGCAUGUGGUUUAAUUCGAAGCAACGCGAAGAACCUUACCAGGUCUUGACAUCCUCUGACAACCCUAGAGAUAGGGCUUUCCCUUCGGGGACAGAGUGACAGGUGGUGCAUGGUUGUCGUCAGCUCGUGUCGUGAGAUGUUGGGUUAAGUCCCGCAACGAGCGCAACCCUUGUCGUUAGUUGCCAUCAUUCAGUUGGGCACUCUAGCGAGACUGCCGGUGACAAACCGGAGGAAGGUGGGGAUGACGUCAAAUCAUCAUGCCCCUUAUGACCUGGGCUACACACGUGCUACAAUGGACGGUACAACGAGCAGCGAACUCGCGAGGGCAAGCGAAUCUCUUAAAGCCGUUCUCAGUUCGGAUUGCAGGCUGCAACUCGCCUGCAUGAAGCCGGAAUCGCUAGUAAUCGUGGAUCAGCAUGCCACGGUGAAUACGUUCCCGGGCCUUGUACACACCGCCCGUCACACCACGAGAGUUUGUAACACCCAAAGUCGGUGCGGUAACCUUUUGGAGCCAGCCGCCUAAGGUGGGAUAGAUGAUUGGGGUG
rnacentral:rRNA from 1 species